GGAUGUGAGGGCGAUCUGGCUGCGACAUCUGUCACCCCAUUGAUCGCCAGGGUUGAUUCAGCUGAUCUGGCCGGCUAUGGGGGUGUCCCUUUCCUCCCUCAUCCAUGUGCGUCCCUCCCGAAGCGUGCAAAGCUGCACGCUCGGUUGAAGAGGACAACCUUCCCCGAUAGAAGGAAGACCCUCCGGUCAAGGGUAUACGAGUAGCUGCGCUCCCCUGCUGGAACCUCCAAACAAGUCUCAAGGUCCAUUUGUAGGAGAACUUAGGGUAGUCAAGCUUCCAAGACUCCAGACACAUCCAAAUGAGGAGCUGCAUGUGGCAGUCUGCCUUU
rnacentral:snRNA from 1 species